AGUAACGGCGAGUGAAGCGGCAACAGCUCAAAUUUGAAAGCUGGCUCCGGCCCGCAUUGUAAUUUGCAGAGGAUGCUUUUGGUGAGGUGCCUUCCGAGUUCCCUGGAACGGGACGCCACAGAGGGUGAGAGCCCCGUAUGGAUGGACACCAAACCUGUGUAAAGCUCCUUCAACGAGUCGAGUAGUUUGGGAAUGCUGCUCAAAAUGGGAGGUAAAUCUCUUCUAAAGCUAAAUACCGGCCAGAGACCGAUAGCGCACAAGUAGAGUGAUCGAAAGAUGAAAAGCACCUUGAAAAGGGGGUUAAACAGUACGUGAAAUUGUUGAAAGGGAAGCGUUUGUGACCAGACUUGCGCCGGGCAGCUCAUCAGGGGUUCUCCCCUGUGCACUCUGCCCGGCUCAGGCCAGCAUCGAUUCUCGUGGGAGGAUAAGAACGGUAGGAAUGUGGCCCCCUCUCGGGGGGGUGUUAUAGCCUGCCGUACGAUACUCCCGUGGGGAUCGAGGUUCGCGCUCCGCAAGGAUGCUGGCGUAAUGGUCAUCAACGACCCGUCUUGAAACACGGACCAAGGAGUCGUCCAUUAGAGCGAGCGUUUGGGUGUAAAACCCGCACGCGUAAUGAAAGUGAACGUAGGUGAGAGCUUCGGCGCAUCAUCGACCGAUCCUGAUGUUCUCGGAAGGAUUUGAGUAAGAGUUUUAACGGACGGACCCGAAAGACAGUGAACUAUGCUUGUAUAGGGUGAAGCCAGAGGAAACUCUGGUGGAGGCUCGCAGCGGUUCUGACGUGCAAAUCGAUCGUCAAAUAUGAGCAUGGGGGCGAAA
rnacentral:rRNA from 1 species